rnacentral:rRNA from 1 species
UACAGAGGUCUCAAGCGUUGUUCGGAUUUAUUGGGCGUAAAGGGUGCGUAGGCGGCGGAGUAAGUUGGGUGUGAAAUCCCGGGGCUCAACCUCGGAAUUGCAUUCAAUACUGCUCCGCUAGAGUACUGGAGAGGAGGCUGGAAUUUACGGUGUAGCAGUGAAAUGCGUAGAUAUCGUAAGGAAGGCCGGUGGCGAAAGCGAGCCUCUGGACAGUUACUGACGCUGAUGCACGAAGGCCAGGGGAGCAAACGGG